rnacentral:rRNA from 1 species
AGUGAACGCUGGCGGCAGGCCUAACACAUGCAAGUCGAACGGCAGCACAGGAGAGCUUGCUCUCUGGGUGGCGAGUGGCGGACGGGUGAGGAAUACAUCGGAAUCUGCUCAGUCGUGGGGGAUAACGUAGGGAAACUUACGCUAAUACCGCAUAUGACCUUAGGGUGAAAGUGGAGGAUCGCAAGACCUCUCGCGAGUGGAUGAGCCGUUGUCGGAUUCGCUAGUUGGAGGGGUAAUGGCUCACCAAGUCGACGAUCCGUAGCUGGUCUGAGAGGGUGAGCAGCCACAGUAGAUCUGAGACACGGUCCAGUCUUCUGCGAGGGGCAGGAGUGGGAAAUAUUGGACAAUGGGCGCAAGUCUGAUCCAGCCAUACCGCGUGUGUGAAGAAGGCCUUGGGGUUGUAAAGCCCUUUUGUUGGGAAAGAAAUCUUUCAAGCUAAUACGCUGGGAGGGAGACUAGACCCAAAGAAUGAGCACGGGCUAACCGCG